rnacentral:rRNA from 1 species
UACGUAGGGUCCGAGCGUUGUCCGGAAUUACUGGGCGUAAAGCGCGCGCAGGCGGCUUCCCAAGCGCCACGUGAAAGCCCCGGGCUCAACCCGGGAGGGUCGCGGCGAACUGGGAGCUUGAGGCCGGUAGAGGUGGGUGGAACUCCUGGUGGAGUGGUGAAAUGCGUAGAGAUCAGGAAGAACACCCGUGGCGAAGGCGGCCCACUGGGCCGGUGCUGACGC